UACGUAGGGACCAAGCGUUGUUCGGAUUUACUGGGCGUAAAGGGCGCGUAGGCGGCAAUUCAAGUCAGCUGUGAAAUCUCCGAGCUUAACUCGGAACGGUCAUCUGAUACUGUUUUGCUAGAGUGCAGAAAGGGCAACCGGAAUUCUUGGUGUAGCGGUGAAAUGCGUAGAUAUCAAGAGGAACACCUGAGGCGAAGGCGGGUUGCUAGGCUGACACUGACGCUGAGGCGCGAAAGCGUGGGGAGCGAACAGG
rnacentral:rRNA from 1 species